rnacentral:misc_RNA from 1 species
AAGUCGUAACAAGGUUUCCGUAGGUGAACCUGCGGAAGGAUCAUUAUGGAAACACGCUGGGGGGGGCCCGCACCGGGCCCCUCCCUCGGACUCCACACACACACAUUCUGUGAAUCGCACCCCGUUGCUUCCGUGGCCGUAGCACGCCGCGGAAGGUUCCCCCACACUCUGGUUGUUUCCGUGCCCUCCGGUCUGAGCUUUAACCAAGCACACACAAGCAAAAACUAUAAAAACCUUCAGCAACGGAUCUCUUGGUUCUC